rnacentral:rRNA from 1 species
CCAGCAGCCGCGGUAAUACACCUACGGGAGGCAGCAGUGGGGAAUAUUGGACAAUGGGCGAAAGCCUGAUCCAGCAAUGCCGCGUGAGUGAUGAAGGCCUUAGGGUUGUAAAGCUCUUUUACCAGGGAUGAUAAUGACAGUACCUGGAGAAUAAGCUCCGGCUAACUCCGUGCCAGCAGCCGCGGUAAUAAU